rnacentral:rRNA from 1 species
AUUGAACGCUGGCGGCAGGCCUAACACAUGCAAGUCGAGCGGAUGAAGGGAGCUUGCUCCUGGAUUCAGCGGCGGACGGGUGUGUAAUGCCUAGGAAUCUGCUUCGCAGUGGGGGAUAAUGUCUGGAAACGGGCGCUACUACUGCAUACGUCCUGCGGGUGAUAGUGGGGGAUCUUCGGACCUCACGCUAUCAGAUGAGCUUAGGUCGGACUAGUUAGUUGGUGGGGUAAAGGCCUACUUAGGCGACGAUCCGUAACUGGUCUGAGAGGAUGAUCAGUCACACUGGAACUGAGACAGGGUCCAGACUCCUACGGUAGGCAGCAGUGGGGAAUAUUGGAUAAUGGGCGAAAGCCUGGUCCAGCCAUGCCGCGUGUGUGAAGAAGGUCUUCGGAUUGGAAAGCACUUUAAGUUGGGGGGAAGGGCAGUAAGUUAAUACCUUGCUUUAUUGACGUUACCAACAGAAUAAGCACCGGCUAACUUCGUG